rnacentral:rRNA from 1 species
AAAGUUUUAUUCUAGACAAAAUUACAAUAAGCUUUUAUAUAUAUAGAUUAAAUAUUCUAGUAUUUAAUAUUUUUAACAAAAAUGAAAAAGAUAAGCUUUUAAGCUAGUGAAUUAUGUGCCAGCAACUGCGGUCAAACAUAAAGCUUUAGUAAUAAAGCGGAUAUGUAGUAAAAAAAAGAUAAAGAUAAAAUAAAAGAAAGAAAGGUCAAAUUUUUUUCCCGUAAAACCCCGAAGAAUUUUAGAAUCUACAAAAACCUUUUUAAAAAAAGGAUUUGAUACCCUUGUAUAAAGUCACAAAAAUAAAUCCAGAGUACUAACAAAAACCUGUAAACUCAAAGAAAAUGGCAGUAUAGCUGAACAUUAGGGUGAUUUGAUUCUUGAAAUGAAAAUACCCAAAGACCUUACUCAAAAAAUAUAUAAAUCUUUAUAUCUCCGUUUUAAGACAAAAUUAAAAAUUUUUGUCAUAAUUUUUAAUAAAAAAUAAUUCAGGUCUAGACAAAAUUUUUUGAGAAGAAUUGAAUUUCAUUGUUUUAAAAGGAAUCUAAAAGAAGCUAAAACUCUUAAAAAGAGAACUUAAAAGUAAAUUUUUAAAAUGAAAAAAAAUUGAAAGAUUUAAGCUAUAUGUACAAAUCGCCCGUCACUCUCAAAAAAAUUGAGAUAAGUCGUAACAAAGUAAGUAUAUUGGAAAAUGUACUUAGAC